GAUGAACGCUGGCGGCGUGCCUAAUACAUGCAAGUCGAGCGAACUGAUUAGAAGCUUGCUUCUAUGACGUUAGCGGCGGACGGGUGAGUAACACGUGGGCAACCUGCCUGUAAGACUGGGAUAACUUCGGGAAACCGAAGCUAAUACCGGAUAGGAUCUUCUCCUUCAUGGGAGAUGAUUGAAAGAUGGUUUCGGCUAUCACUUACAGAUGGGCCCGCGGUGCAUUAGCUAGUUGGUGAGGUAACGGCUCACCAAGGCAACGAGGCAGAGCGGACCUGAGAGGGUGAUCGGCCACACUGGGACGGAGACACGGCCCAGACUCCUACGGGAGGCAGCAGUAGGGAAUCUUCCGCAAUGGACGAAAGUCUGACGGAGCAACGCCGCGUGAGUGAUGAAGGCUUUCGGGUCGUAAAACUCUGUUGUUAGGGAAGAACAAGUACGAGAGUAACUGCUCGUACCUUGACGGUACCUAACCAGAAAGCCACGGCUAACUACGUGCCAGCCGCCGCGGUAACAC
rnacentral:rRNA from 1 species